GAUGAACGCUGGCGGCGUGCCUAAUACAUGCAAGUAGAACGUUGAAGCUUGGUGCUUGCACCGAGCGGAUGAGUUGCGAACGGGUGAGUAACGCGUAGGUAACCUGCCUCUUAGCGGGGGAUAACUAUUGGAAACGAUAGCUAAUACCGCAUAAAAGACGAUAUCGCAUGAUAUUGAUUUGAAAGGUGCAAAUGCAUCACUAAGAGAUGGACCUGCGUUGUAUUAGCUAGUUGGUGAGGUAACGGCUCACCAAGGCGACGAUACAUAGCCGACCUGAGAGGGUGAUCGGCCACACUGGGACUGAGACACGGCCCAGACUCCUACGGGAGGCAGCAGUAGGGAAUCUUCGGCAAUGGACGGAAGUCUGACCGAGCAACGCCGCGUGAGUGAAGAAGGUUUUCGGAUCGUAAAGCUCUGUUGUAAGAGAAGAAUGAGUGUGAGAGUGGAAAGUUCACACUGUGACGGUAUCUUACCAGAAAGGGACGGCUAACUACGUGCCAGCAGCCGCGGUAAUACGUAGGUCCCGAGCGUUAUCCGGAUUUAUUGGGCGUAAAGCGAGCGCAGGCGGUUAGAUAAGUCUGAAGUUAAAGGCUGUGGCUUAACCAUAGUACGCUUUGGAAACUGUUUAACUUGAGUGCAGAAGGGGAGAGUGGAAUUCCAUGUGUAGCGGUGAAAUGCGUAGAUAUAUGGAGGAACACCGGUGGCGAAAGCGGCUCUCUGGUCUGUAACUGACGCUGAGGCUCGAAAGCGUGGGGAGCAAACAGG
rnacentral:rRNA from 1 species